rnacentral:lncRNA from 1 species
AUUUCAUUUAACAGAAGGCAUGAAUGUGUCUGUAAUAUAAUAAACAUGACAAAAACAAAUAGUCAUUAAUGCAUUUCUACAGCUUUCAAAAUAAAAUGACUACAGCGGGGGAGAGCCAAGAUGGAGGUGCGGUGGCCUCAAAACAGCCCCCCCUGGUAUCAUCUAGUGUAUAUAUAUAUAUAUAAACAUCUCUGGUUGAGUCUCAUAACAGCACCCCCUUGGUAGUCAUCUAGUGUAUAUAUAUAUAUAAACAUCUCUGGUUGAGUCUCAUAACAGCACCCCUUGGUAGUCAUCUAGUGUAUAUAUAUAUAUAAACAUCUCUGGUUGAGUCUCAUAACAGCACCCCCUGGUAGUCAUCUAGUGUAUAUAUAUAUAUAUAAACAUCUCUGGUUGAGUCUCAUAACAGCACCCCCUUGGUAGUCAUCUAGUGUAUAUAUAUAUAUAAACAUCUCUGGUUGAGUCUCAUAACAGCACCCCCUGGUAGUCAUCUAGUGUAUAUAUAUAUAUAAACAUCUCUGGUUGAGUCUCAUAACAGCACCCCCUGGUAGUCAUCUAGUAUAUAUAUAUAUAUAUAAACAUCUCUGGUUGAGUCUCAUAACAGCAGAACCAUUUCAUGUUGUCGUAGGGUUGAGUCUCUCUUGCGACGUAAUGAAAAGUGUAACAAUCUUUAGUAUUAUGUUUCUGCCUUGUUUGUUCUUCAUGCAGAAAUCAUAUUACAUCCAUUGUUAUUCAUUGCAAACCAAUCAUCCAGAAAUGGAAAACAUAGCACUGUGAAUUAACCAACAGUAUUUAUUAGGGUAACAUGUAAAGGCUUUAUGGGUUGUCAUUCCACCUUUCCUUACUGAAUUACCAUUAGAAUAAAUUGUUCCCACUGAAUAACUAGUGUUUAUUCACAAGCACAAGACUGUUCAUCCUUAAACUUGGUUUUUUCCUUUGAGAAAAACCCCAAAUGAGCAAAACCCAGAAUCCCCCCCCAAAAACAAACGAUUUUCUGUUAACAAAGAAUUGGAUAUUACUAGAACCAAGGGACGGGGGGGGGGGCGAACCAAGGGACAGGGGGGGG